rnacentral:rRNA from 1 species
GACGAACGCUGGCGGCGUGCUUAACACAUGCAAGUCGAACGGAAAGGCCCUGCUUUUGUGGGGUGCUCGAGUGGCGAACGGGUGAGUAACACGUGAGUAACCUGCCCUUGACUUUGGGAUAACUUCAGGAAACUGGGGCUAAUACCGGAUAGGAGCUCCUGCUGCAUGGUGGGGGUUGGAAAGUUUCGGCGGUUGGGGAUGGACUCGCGGCUUAUCAGCUUGUUGGUGGGGUAGUGGCUUACCAAGGCUUUGACGGGUAGCCGGCCUGAGAGGGUGACCGGCCACAUGGGGACUGAGAGACGGCCCAGACUCCUACGGGAGGCAGCAGUGGGGAAUAUUGCACAAUGGGCGGAAGCCUGAUGCAGCAACGCCGCGUGCGGGAUGACGGCCUUCGGGUUGUAAACCGCUGUCGCCUGUGACGAAGCGGGAGUGACGGUAAUGGGUAAAGAAGCACCGGCUAACUACGUG